GAGAGGGAGGCACCAGAUUGGCUAAGAAACAAAAACAAAAUCCAGAGUGAGAGGAUUUUCGUUCACAACUCACUCCCUUUGCUUCCUCACUUUCGAAUUCAACGCGAACCACCAUCCAAUCUCCUUCCUCUCCUUCCGCUGCCACUAUCCUCCCGUCCCAACGGAACCUCAACGUCAGUAGCGCACCAUCACCACUGUGAACAGCAACACAGACCACUACUUCGCCAUACUCUCUCAUCCCCCACACAGUUCCUUCCGGCCAAUACUCCCUUCCGUCACUUUUUGGGUAAACUUCACAUUUCUUUUAUUUUAAUUUAA